GACGAACGCUGGCGGCGUGCCUAAUACAUGCAAGUCGAACGGAAAGACCCUGCUUUUGUGGGGUGCUCGUGUGGCGAGCGCGUGUGUGACACGUGAGUAUCCUGCCCUUGACUUUGGGAUAACUUCACGAAACUGGGGCUAUUACCGCAUAUAAGCUCCUGCUGCAUGGUGGGGGUUGGAAAGUUUCGGCGGUUGUGUCUGGAUUGGCGGCUUAUCAGCUUGUUGGUGGGGUUGUGGAUGACCAAGGCUUCGACGGGUAGCCGGCCUGAGAGGUUGGACGGCCACAUGGGGACUAAGGUACGGCCCAGACUCCUACGGGAGGCAGCAGGGGGGAGUAUGGCACAAUGAGCGGAAGUCUGUUGCAACAACGCCGCGUGCGGGAUGACGGGCUUCGGGUUGUAAACCGCUGUCGCCUGUGACGAAGCGGGAGUGACGGUAAUGGGUAAAGAAGCACCGGCUAACUACGUG
rnacentral:rRNA from 1 species